rnacentral:lncRNA from 1 species
UGAACGAUAAAAAACUAAUGUAUCAUGUAUUUGCUUUCAGGAGAACGAUACGAUCACUCUGACCAGGAAAAUCGACGAAAAUUGGUUCGAGGGUACCUUGAACGGUCGUACGGGUUAUUUCCCAGUAACUUAUGUGCAAGUCGUAGUGCCAUUACCUUAAGGAGACGCAAUGCGUCUCGUAACCAAAGACCCUGCAUUCGUUCACCAGCGUUUACCAUGAGAAUUAUCUUAUGCUCCGAAUAGCCUAAAAAUCUCUUUCAAGACUACUCUCUAUUGAAAUUACUUACGUUAUGGUUCCCGCUUGUUCGAAACGGAUGGAUCUUCAUGUUUUACUCUAUUUACUUGUUUUAUUUUAUUUUAUUUUAUUUUUUUUUUCCUCUUGUCCCCGAGGAUAGCUCUAUACGCAUGUUAAUGUACAUAUAUAAUGUUAUAGUGUCUUUUAUCGACGUAAGGACCUUCGCGCGCGCAGAUGCAUAUAUUAUAUAUAUAUAUAUAUAGGGUGUUCAAAAUAUUCGUGAAACACUUUCAGAUUCUAAAGGUCAAAGCAAACGAAAAGAUUGAUGAGCAAAGAUGUCGGUUGAGAUUUAUUUAUUUAAGUCAAUAUAAAACGAUAUGAAAUUUGUUGUUGGAUAAAAAUAGAGACAGAGCUCGUUUCAUCUGAUGCAACACAUAUAAAUUAUCUAUAAUUUGAUAAAUAAACGUGAAUCGACAUUUUUUUACGUAUGAACUUUUUGCUCGUUUUUCGGUCUUUAGAUUUUUUUUUGAAAGUGCCCUACGAAUAUAUUAACAUCUUAAAUAUUACACACGACUUACACUAUUGCGAUUAAGUAUGAAUUACACGUAUACACGUACACGAGAGAUAUUAUACAUGUACACACAGAUAUUAUACAUCGUAAAGUAUCUACAUGAUGGCAGUCCACUGUCAAGGGCGGCUCUUUUCUCAUUUUCUAUUAUCGUCUCAUAUGUGAAUCAUCUCUGAAACAUUGUCCAUUAGUUUCCACACCAACGUUUGAUUGCACAAAGACGUCAGAGCGCCAAGACUGCAUUGAAAUUUUUGAAAGACGUUCGAAGUACUCUUUAACCUCAAGUGUUUCCCAUUUAUUCAAACGAUCUAUUUCAGUAAUCAUACUUAUUCAGUAGUACGUAACAAGUUGUGUCAUUUUUAUAGAUGAUGACGAUCGAAUCUACUCGGAAUCAAGUUUUAAGUUUCUCGUUUAAGAAUUCCAAAACGCUCGAAACAAUUUUUUUUUUUUUUUUAAUUUAAAACAUUAAUCGUUCCUUUAUUCGUUUUCUCAUGUUUUAGAAUUUUCGUUAAUUAUUCGUCAUGUUUUCAAGCGCACUGUUAUCGAUACAAAAGGAGAGGAAGAGAGAGAGAGAGAGAGAGAGAGAGAAAGAUUAUUCAUUGAAAUCAUAUUAUCCGUUUUGCGUUGGUCCGCACGGUGCAGCGAAAAAGAAACCAUAUAAGUCGUAUUAUUAACGUAUUCGUAUGUUGUAUAGUAAUUCGUUUCCAUUCCCUUGUCGUUUUUUCGACAUUUAUCUCGUAUCGUUUGUCGUUCUUUUUGAUCAUUUAGAAAAAGACCGAAUAGAAAUUUAGGAUUUAGUUUAAGUGAUCUUCAAAAUGGCGGCGAACCUCUUCCACGAAGUCGUCGAUUAACAAGUUGAGUAAUUAGAGAUGAUCCCCAUGAUUGAUCGUGUUUUCCAUUGUGACUAUUUCGAGUUGAUGAAACGAAUAAUGAUUAACAAACGUAAUAUUUAUGCCAUUUAAUAAUUAAUUUAGAAAUGAUUAAUCCUUUAUUCCUAUCGUGAUUGUAGCCUUUAAUAAUUUCUUCUUUUUUCUUGUUUUUCUUUAAUCGAAUUCUUUAAUUCUUAUUAAGCGAAUAAUAGGAUAAAUUGAUCGAUGAAAACGUGAAAUCUUCGAAAGGAAAUAAAAAUCUUUAUCUUAGAAAUCCAAGUAUAUUGUUAAUUGUCUUUUGCGGUUAGAGAUUUUUCGUUUCUAUCUUGGACUUUGUACGAGAGUUCAACCGCCAGAACAAUGAAAGUAAUUAAGGAAAUUGGUUAUUGUUGCCACGUGGAUUUUAGGUAAAUCUUCAAACAAGAUAUUUGCUAAGCAUAAUAUUAUAAUAAUGUUAGAGUAUAUAACUUACUUAUUAUAUAAAAAAAAAAAAUAUAUAUAUAUAUAUAUAUAUGUUGUCGAUGACGGCGACAACGAUGAUGACUACGACGAUGGCAUUAUUAUUAUUGAUACUCGCAUAUUUUUCCAUUUACUAUUACGGUAAAAUAUUUACAUGAUGGAAAACGUUCUUGGCCUUACCUUACAUUUUGAACCGUUCCAAUGGCAGUUUCGUAUAGUUGGUAUUUUAUGAAUUAAACACGCGGCACCCUUAGAACAACGUUGCAACAAUGGGUUUUACGAUCACAAAUAUUUAUAAUUAAUACACGGUAGCUCUAUCAUGUUAAGAAAUUAUCACGAAUUAUUAUGGAAUUAAUAAAAUCAAUAUUAUCAAUAACAAUUAAUAUUAUUUUACGAUUAUCGAUGUCGUAAUUAAUUCUUUAGGAAGCCUUUUCUAUUUCUGCUUAUUCGAAACAAACUGCUGUAGCUCGUAAUUAUUAUUAUUUUAUCAGCGAAAUUAGUGAAAUACUCUACGAGGGAAAAGAGUAUGUUAUCUUUUAAUCUCUUUCUAUCAAGUUUCUAUUUUUACCUUCUACUACGCUGAUCACGCGUAGUAGAGGGAUGAGAAGAGAAACUUCUUUCGUAGGCAGCGCUGAUGUUUAAAUGUUAGAUUGCAUUCUCAUCGGUUGCAUUACAUCAAUUGUGAUCUCGAGUAAACACGUACAAACUAUAUAAUAUAUUUUCUUUAUUAAAUAUACGAAAGAUGUAUAUUUAUUAAAUUGGAACGUUGUUCUUGGCGCCGUUUAAAAAUUGUCAAGAAUGAAACUUAGGAUUGAUUUGCCACGAAAAUGAAAAUCGUUACAAGUUAUCAACCGGGGUAUUCGAUUGAUAAACAACCGUUAUUGCUGUCAUCAGCGUUCAGUCAUUGCGAAUACGAAACAGAAGAGAGAGAGAGAGAGAGAGAGAGAGAGA